GUAUCAAUUGGUUUUCUGUGUUUCUUCUCUCAUCCUUCUGAUAAUUGGGUUAACCACUGCCAUUGUUAUACUUCUUCGUGGAGUAAACUUGAAUGACCAUUGUUCUUGGUGUCACUAUAUGAGUUGUGUUCCUACUUCAAAGUGGAGCUGCAACACAGAACCUGUUUCCUGUCUGGUAUGCAUCUUUAACUCUCUUUUGCUUUUAAUAUAUCCAAAACGUGACCUUUUUGUUAUUAAUUAAUAAUCAAAAUUUUCAUGAAUUAUGGCUAGCCUUGUUAUUGGGAGAUCUUUUUGUUUAACAGCCUUGCAUUACCGCAACUGAUAAAUCACUAGAGCUACAUAGGAACAUCAUGCUUGUCUCCCGUUGUU